rnacentral:tRNA from 1 species
GCGCCCGUAGCUCAAAGGUAGAGCGAGAGCCUUUUAAGCUCGGGGUUGCAGGUUCGAGUCCUGCCGGGCGCA